rnacentral:rRNA from 1 species
UGGGGAAUUUUCCGCAAUGGGCGAAAGCCUGACGGAGCAACGCCGCGUGGGGGAGGAAGGUCUUUGGAUUGUAAACCUCUUUUCUCAAGGAAGAAGUUCUGACGGUACUUGAGGAAUCAGCCUCGGCUAACUCCGUG